CAGUCGCCGCGGGAACACGGAGGGUGCAAGCGUUAAUCGGAAUUACUGGGCGUAAAGCGUGCGUAGGCGGUUCGUUAAGUCUGUUGUGAAAGCCCCGGGCUCAACCUGGGAAUGGCAAUGGAUACUGGCGAGCUAGAGUGUGUCAGAGGAUGGUGGAAUUCCCGGUGUAGCGGUGAAAUGCGUAGAGAUCGGGAGGAACAUCAGUGGCGAAGGCGGCCAUCUGGGACAACACUGACGCUGAGGCACGAAAGCGUGGGGAGCAAACAGGAUUAGAUACCCCUGUAGUCCCUGUCUCUUAUAC
rnacentral:rRNA from 1 species